AUUGAACGCUGGCGGCAUGCCUUACACAUGCAAGUCGAACGGUAACAGGUCUUCGGAUGCUGACGAGUGGCGAACGGGUGAGUAAUACAUCGGAACGUGCCCAGACGUGGGGGAUAACGAGGCGAAAGCUUUGCUAAUACCGCAUACGAUCUAAGGAUGAAAGCAGGGGACCGCAAGGCCUUGCGCGUUUGGAGCGGCCGAUGGCAGAUUAGGUAGUUGGUGGGAUAAAAGCUUACCAAGCCGACGAUCUGUAGCUGGUCUGAGAGGACGACCAGCCACACUGGGACUGAGACACGGCCCAGACUCCUACGGGAGGCAGCAGUGGGGAAUUUUGGACAAUGGGCGAAAGCCUGAUCCAGCAAUGCCGCGUGCAGGAUGAAGGCCUUCGGGUUGUAAACUGCUUUUGUACGGAACGAAAAGGCUCUGGUUAAUACCUGGGGCACAUGACGGUACCGUAAGAAUAAGCAUCGGCUAACUACGUGCCAGCAGCCGCGGUAAUACGUAGGGUGCGAGCGUUAAUCGGAAUUACUGGGCGUAAAGCGUGCGCAGGCGGUUUUGUAAGACAGAGGUGAAAUCCCCGGGCUCAACCUGGGAACUGCCUUUGUGACUGCAAAGCUGGAGUGCGGCAGAGGGGGAUGGAAUUCCGCGUGUAGCAGUGAAAUGCGUAGAUAUGCGGAGGAACACCGAUGGCGAAGGCAAUCCCCUGGGCCUGCACUGACGCUCAUGCACGAAAGCGUGGGGAGCAAACAGG
rnacentral:rRNA from 1 species